rnacentral:rRNA from 1 species
CCGGCACGGUGAGUAACACGUAUCCAACCUGCCGUCUACUCUUGGACAGCCUUCUGAAAGGAAGAUAAUACAAGAUGGCAUCAUGAGUUCACAUGUUCACAUGAUUAAAGGUAUUCCGGUAGACGAUGGGGAUGCGUUCCAUUAGAUAGUAGGCGGGGUAACGGCCCACCUAGUCUUCGAUGGAUAGGGGUUCUGAGAGGAAGGUCCCCCACAUUGGAACUGAGACACGGUCCAA